rnacentral:rRNA from 1 species
UACGAAGGGGGCUAGCGUUGCUCGGAAUCACUGGGCGUAAAGCGCACGUAGGCGGAUUGUUAAGUCAGGGGUGAAAUCCUGGAGCUCAACUCUAGAACUGCCUUUGAUACUGGCGAUCUCGAGUCCGGGAGAGGUGAGUGGAACUGCGAGUGUAGAGGUGAAAUUCGUAGAUAUUCGCAAGAACACCAGUGGCGAAGGCGGCUCACUGGCCCGGUACUGACGCUGAGGUGCGAAAGCGUGGGGAGCAAACAGG